AACACGCGCGCGUGCACGCACGCACGCACACACACAGACACUUACUCUGAGCCCCCGGGCAGCUCCAAGGCAGAGGAAAACUUGUGACCAAAGGCAUGGAGGAAACUGACAAGAAAACAUAGGUUGGAAACAAUGACAUAAAAAGUCCCAAAGAUGACGGAGGUCAUGGAUACUGCAAAAUAAAGAUUUGAGAAACUUGUUCAAAGGAACUGGACUUAUAAACAACCCCAGAGCCCCUGUAGUUGAAGCUCCCAGGCAUCUUUCUCAGCAGGAUGACAGUCUACUGUUUCAAGGGGGUCUUGCACAGCUGGGUUGAAAUAGAGUUUUAAAAAGUGGCAGCCUUAAUAGAAUAUCUCUUUUAGAGGAAAGCAUUUAAUCAAAAUGAGAAGAAUUUUUAUAUGUGAGUAUAAAUAUGUGAACUUCUAUGAGGCCUUCAAUUUUAGGAGAACCAUUCCAAGACAGCAUGACCUACUGACCUAUAGAGUAUUCUCUUUUGGUCUGAUUAUAAAAGUAGUGAAGUGAUAAAAGGGGCCCUCCUUUUCCCACACCAUGGCAGACGCGCAGAGAAACCCUUUCCUGUACAGAACACCUGACAAUGCUGGAUGAAAAUUUAACCACAAUUUUAAGGCUUGGCCAGGUUGGAUGUCCAGACAGGAUAAUCAGCUGAGACUAGAAACAAGAAAGAAGGGCA